rnacentral:rRNA from 1 species
AGCUAGUGUUAAGUUAUGGCCACACUAGCUACGACCGUUAGGUACUUGAGAGGGUGUCUGCAUGGCACUGAACACGGCAUACACUACCGGUGGCAGCAGUAGGGAUAUGGGCAUGGGCGAAGCUGACCAGCACGCGCGUGCACGAUGAGGCUUCGGGUCGUAAGUGCUUUCUGAGGAUGAGUAAGGACAGUACUCAGGAAUAGCCUCGGCUAACUACGUGCCAGCAGCCGCGGUAAAACGUAGGAGGCAAGCGUUAUCCGGAUUUACUGGGCGUAAAGCGUGUGUAGGCGGUUCGGCAAGUUGGAUGUGAAAGCUCCUGGCUUAACUAGGAGAGGUCGUUCAAUACUACCGAACUUGAGGGCAUCAGAGGAAGGUGGAAUUCCCGGUGUAGUGGUGAAAUGCGUAGAUAUCGGGAGGAACACCAGUGGCGAAGGCGGCCUUCUGGGAUGUUCCUGACGCUCAGACACGAAAGCUAGGGUAGCGAACGGGAUUAGAGACCCCGGUAGUCCUAGCAGUAAACGAUGUAGACUUGGUGUCGGAGGUGUCAAAACCUUCGGUAUCGUAGCUAACGCGAUAAGUCUACCGCCUGGGGACUACGGCCGCAAGGUUAAAACUCAAAGGAAUUGACGGGGGCCCGCACAAGCAGCGGAGCGUGUGGUUUAAUUCGAUGUUACACGAAGAACCUUACCCAGGUUUGACAUGUUGGUGGUAGGAAUCCGAAAGGUGACCGACCCGCAAGGGAGCCUUCACAGGUGCUGCAUGGCUGUCGUCAGCUCGUGUCGUGAGAUGUUCGGUUAAGUCCGCUAACGGGCGCAACCCUCGCCGUAUGUUACAUGUGUCAUGCGGGACCGCCGGUAUCAAGCCGGAGGAAGGUGGGGAUGACGUCAAGUCAGCAUGGCCUUUAUAUCUGGGGCUACACACACGCUACAAUGGCCGGUACAAUGGGUCGCUAAGCCGCGAGGUAGAGCCAAUCCCGCAAAGCCGGUCUCAGUUCAGAUCACAGGCUGCAACCCGCCUGUGUGAAGUUGGAGUUGCUAGUAAACGCGCGUCAGCUAUAGUGCGUUGAAUACGUUCUCGGGCCUUGUACACACCGCCCGUCACGUCAUGGGAGCUGGUAACACCUGAAGCCGGUAGCCUAACCGCAAGGAGGGCGCUGUCGAAGGUGGUGCUGGUGACUGGGACGAAGUCGUAACAAGGUAGCCG